rnacentral:lncRNA from 1 species
AUGGCGGCGAGCGCCACGCCCCGCGCGUACCUGGCCUCCAGGUGCGCCGGCCGCAGCGCCAGCGCGCGCCCCGCGUUGCCGGCCGCCGCCGCGGGCCGGCCCAGCCGCAGCUGCGCCGCCGCCAGCGCCGCGUGCAGCUCGGCCUUGAGCGCGGCCGCGCGCUCGGGCAGCGGCGCCGGGCCCGCGGCCGCCACGGCGCGACGCAGCGCCCGCGCCAAGGCCCGAACAGCCGAAAAGUCCUGCCCGUUCGCCGCCAGCGCCGCCCCGCGUGCCAGCCCGGCCUCCACCGCGUGCCAGCGGGCGGCCGGCGGCGCGGCCCAGAACGGCGGCGCCGGUGCGAAGCGGCCCAGCCGCACCAGCAGCACCGCGGUGGAACCGUCAUCAUCAUCGCCGCGCGGCCGCAGCCACGCCAGCUCGCCCGCCGCCAUCGUCUCCAGCGCCGCGUCCAGCAGCGCUGACCACCGGCCCUCGGCCUCGCCCAGCCGCACGCUCAGCCAGCGGCCGCACGGCACGGCCGGAGCGCCCCAGGGACAACGGCCGGACACCGGCACCCGCAGCCGGACACGGCACAGCGAGCCGGGGCCCGGCCGCGCCAGCCCGCGCCCGCGCCGAGCGCGCAGCUUCCACCAGGCGCCGUCCGGGCUCGGCUGCCACGCGCCCGAAACGGGGUUAGGAGGGGAUGGCUCCGCCCCCUGGGCUUCAAACCCCGCCCCCUGGGCUUCAAACUCCGCCCCCUGGGCUUCAAACCCCGCCCCCUGGGCUUUAAACCCCGCCCCCUGGGCUUCAAACCCCGCCCCCUGGGCUUCAAACUCCGCCCCCUGGGCUUCAAACCCCGCCCCCGGGUCCUUUGGAUUGACAGCACACGGCUCAAGCUCCGCCCCCUGUGGUUUAACUGCCACUCCCUGGGUUAUAAGCUCCGCCCCCUGUGCUUUAAGCUCCGCCCCCUGUGGUUUAACUGCCACUCCCUGGGUUAUAAGCUCCGCCCCCUGUGCCACAGGCCCACGGCGCACAAGCUCCGCCUCCAAAGCGUCGAGCUCCGCCUCCUCCUCGUCAGGCUCCGCCUCAAAGGCUUCAAGCUCCACCCCCCAAGUCUCAAGCCCCUCCCCCUCGGGCGUCCUAAGCCACGCCUCCUCCAGCGACCAAUCCCAGGGCUCUCGCGCCUGA